AGAAAAAUUUGUGUGAGGACACCUGGAAUGUUGUGGGAAAUCCAUAAGGACACACAGGGUGGGUGUGUGCUGUAGGCAUCCUGGUGUUAAGAGUGAGAAUUGCUUCUUGUCCCUCAGAUUCUAUGUUACCUGUCCUCGGUCCACUUGGAAUCUCUUGAGAGAGCCGAGUCCUGUGUGUUCCUAGGCCCUGCCACAGGGACCUGGACGCCCUGCCUGUUGAGGCAAGGUUGUGGAUGUCCCGGGCCUUAUGGUCCCUGCUUCGCAUGAUGUGGGGCAGCAUCCAUCUGAACGCUCAUCACUACCAAGGCCAAUGUUUUGGAAGGAAGUCCUUCUUCUCCCAUCUUAGUAUUAGACCAUCGGAUUUGGGACACGGGACUAAGGCCGCUGACUCUGCAUCCCUUACAAGCAUACACAGCUGCCUGCCCUUUUGCCUUGUGUCCAUCCUGGAGUGGCCUUCUGCAAGGGUUUCUCUGUGUAAGAGCCUGGCUGUCCUGGAAUUCACUUUGUAGACCAGGCUGGCCUCCAACUCACAGAGAUGGGCAUGCUGCUGCCUCCCGAGUGCUGGGAUUAUAGGCUUUCACUACCACCU